rnacentral:tRNA from 1 species
AAAAAGAUAAGCUAAUUUAAGCUAAUAGGUUCAUACCCUGUAUAUGAAAGUCAAAUCUUUCUCUUUUUA